CAGGACGAACGCUGGCGGCGUGCCUAAUACAUGCAAGUCGAACGGUCUUUCUAUGGAAGCUUGCUUCCGCUGAGAAGAUAGUGGCGAACGGGUGAGUAACACGUGGGUAACCUGCCCAUAAGAGGGGGAUAACAUCCGGAAACGGGUGCUAAUACCGCAUAGUUUUCUUGAUCGCAUGAUCGGGAAAGGAAAGACGGCCUUUGUGCUGUCGCUUAUGGAUGGACCCGCGGCGUAUUAGUUAGUUGGUGAGGUAACGGCUCACCAAGACGAUGAUACGUAGCCGACCUGAGAGGGUGAUCGGCCACAUUGGGACUGAGACACGGCCCAAACUCCUACGGGAGGCAGCAGUAGGGAAUCUUCCGCAAUGGACGAAAGUCUGACGGAGCAACGCCGCGUGAGUGAAGAAGGUUUUUCCGGAUCGUAAAACUCUGUUGUCAGAGAAGAACAAGUUGGAGAGUAACUGCUCCAGCCUUGACGGUAUCUGACCAGAAAGCCACGGCUAACUACGUGCCAGCCGCUGC
rnacentral:rRNA from 1 species